rnacentral:lncRNA from 1 species
GCCAGUCUGUAUUCAAACCCCAAGCCCACUCAAGCCUGUCGCUCGGUGAUUCCUGUUCAUGAAACAUCAGUGGACUUGGAGGUCAAUACCUUCCUCCCAGCUGUGCCCUUUGGAACUCUGUGACUCAGAAGGUUGCCAGUGGAAGGAAACAGCUGCAGAUUUUCACAUUUCUUUGGCAACGGGAGUAUGUGGUCUGACUUCAGAGGAAGUUGUUGCCUGCAGGCAUCCCCCCAGGAAUGCAGAAAGAAUGAGGGCCCUAACCUGGGCUGCUUGUUGA